GUAGGGAAUAUUGCACAAUGGGCGAAAGCCUGAUGCAGCAACGCCGCGUGCGCGAUGAAGGCCUUCGGGUUGUAAAGCGCUUUUCGGGGGGAUGAGGAAGGACAGUACCCCCGGAAUAAGUCUCGGCUAACUACGUGCCAGCAGCCGCGGUAACACGUAGGAGACAAGCGUUAUCCGGAUUUACUGGGCGUAAAGCGCGUGUAGGCGGUUUGGUAAGUCGGGCGUGAAAUCUCCUGGCUCAACUGGGAGGGGCCGUCCGAAACUACCAGACUGGAGGGCAGAAGAGGGAGGUGGAAUUCCGGGUGUAGUGGUGAAAUGCGUAGAUAUCCGGAGGAACACCAGUGGCGAAGGCGGCCUCCUAGUCUGUCCCUGACGCUCAGACGCGAAAGCUAGGGGAGCGAACGGGAUUAGAAACCCCGGUAGUCC
rnacentral:rRNA from 1 species